GCGGGCGUGGUGGAAUGGCAGACACGUUGGACUUAGAAUCCAAUGCCUUCGUGGCGUGGAGGUUCAAAUCCUCUCGCCCGCA
rnacentral:tRNA from 1 species